rnacentral:rRNA from 1 species
GAGUCUAACAUGUGCGCAAGUCGUUGGGUCUUGCACAGGCCCAAAGGCGCAAUGAAAGUGAAGGUCGGCCGGGCUGCCGACUUCGUUGGGAUCCUCGCCUUCGUCAGGAGGCGGGGCGCACCAACGGCCCGUCCAUGCCGCCACGUCGGCGGGGCGGAGUGAGAGCGUACACGUUGGGACCCGAAAGAUGGUGAACUAUGCCUGGGCAGGACGAAGCCAGAGGAAACUCUGGUGGAGGUCCGCAGCGAUUCUGACGUGCAAAUCGAUCGUCAGACCUUGGUAUAGGGGCGAAAGACUAAUCGAACCAUCUAGUAGCUGGUUCC